UGGCGGCGUGCCUAACACAUGCAAGUCGAGCGAGGAGAUUCCUUCGGGAUGAUCCUAGCGGCGGACGGGUGAGUAACACGUGGGCAACCUGCCUCAUAGAGAGGAAUAGCCUUCCGAAAGGGAGAUUAAUACCUCAUAACAUUGCAGUUUCGCAUGGAACAGCAAUUAAAGGAGCAAUCCACUAUGAGAUGGGCCCGCGGCGCAUUAGCUAGUUGGUGAGGUAACGGCUCACCAAGGCGACGAUGCGUAGCCGACCUGAGAGGGUGAUCGGCCACAUUGGGACUGAGACACGGCCCAGACUCCUACGGGAGGCAGCAGUGGGGAAUAUUGCACAAUGGGGGAAACCCUGAUGCAGCAACGCCGCGUGAGUGAUGACGGCCUUCGGGUUGUAAAGCUCUGUCUUCAGGGACGAUAAUGACGGUACCUGAGGAGGAAGCCACGGCUAACUACGUGCCAGCCGCCGC
rnacentral:rRNA from 1 species